rnacentral:ncRNA from 1 species
UCCAGGUGCCCGUUUCGGGAGAAUAGGGAAGGCGGUGAAAAUCCGCCGCGGUAGCGCCACUGUAAGCGGGGAGAGGAGCUAAAGCUCACUGUCGGUGAGUCGACAGUAGAGAUUUAGCAUUAUUCCCGACCCGCAAGCCAGGAGACCUGCCUGAAUG